rnacentral:rRNA from 1 species
CUAAUACAUGCAGUCGACGCGUUGGCCCAAUUGAUUGAUGGUGCUUGCACCUGAUUGAUUUUGGUCGCCAACGAGUGGCGGACGGGUGAGUAACACGUAGGUAACCUGCCCAGAAGCGGGGGACAACAUUUGGAAACAGAUGCUAAUACCGCAUAACAACGUUGUUCGCAUGAACAACGCUUAAAAGAUGGCUUCUCGCUAUCACUUCUGGAUGGACCUGCGGUGCAUUAGCUUGUUGGUGGGGUAACGGCCUACCAAGGCGAUGAUGCAUAGCCGAGUUGAGAGACUGAUCGGCCACAAUGGGACUGAGACACGGCCCAUACUCCUACGGGAGGCAGCAGUAGGGAAUCUUCCACAAUGGGCGCAAGCCUGAUGGAGCAACACCGCGUGAGUGAAGAAGGGUUUCGGCUCGUAAAGCUCUGUUGUUAAAGAAGAACACGUAUGAGAGUAACUGUUCAUACGUUGACGGUAUUUAACCAGAAAGUCACGGCUAACUACGUGCCAGCAGCCGCGGUAAUACGUAGGUGGCAAGCGUUAUCCGGAUUUAUUGGGCGUAAAGAGAGUGCAGGCGGUUUUCUAAGUCUGAUGUGAAAGCCUUCGGCUUAACCGGAGAAGUGCAUCGGAAACUGGAUAACUUGAGUGCAGAAGAGGGUAGUGGAACUCCAUGUGUAGCGGUGGAAUGCGUAGAUAUAUGGAAGAACACCAGUGGCGAAGGCGGCUACCUGGUCUGCAACUGACGCUGAGACUCGAAAGCAUGGGUAGCGAACAGGAUUAGAUACCCUGGUAGUCCAUGCCGUAAACGAUGAGUGCUAGGUGUUGGAGGGUUUCCGCCCUUCAGUGCCGGAGCUAACGCAUUAAGCACUCCGCCUGGGGAGUACGACCGCAAGGUUGAAACUCAAAGGAAUUGACGGGGGCCCGCACAAGCGGUGGAGCAUGUGGUUUAAUUCGAAGCUACGCGAAGAACCUUACCAGGUCUUGACAUCUUGCGCCACCCUAGAGAUAGGGCGUUUCCUUCGGGAACGCAAUGACAGGUGGUGCAUGGUCGUCGUCAGCUCGUGUCGUGAGAUGUUGGGUUAAGUCCCGCAACGAGCGCAACCCUUGUUACUAGUUGCCAGCAUUAAGU